GCCAGUACGACGCCCUUGUUCGCCAGCACACGGCGCCUGCCUUUUGGUGUCAGCACUUCCGCACCGACGACAUGGCCUCUGUCGUUUCGGAUGAGCGUUCUCACCGGGCUGUCGAGCCAGAUCGGCACGCCGNNNNNNNUCGCACGCCGACCGAAACAGUCGCGCGGCCAGCGCAUUGCCGUUGGUCAACAGCAUCGACCGGCCCCGCACGGAGCGGUCGAACCCGAAUUUGACCAAACGUUUGGCGACGUAGAGGAAGGAUUCCAGC
rnacentral:misc_RNA from 1 species